rnacentral:tRNA from 1 species
CAAGGUGCAGCGCAAUUCGGUAGCGCAUCCGCUCCGGGCGCAGAGGGUCACAGGCCCAAACCCCGCCACCCCGA